rnacentral:rRNA from 1 species
AGUGAACGCUGGCGGUAGGCCUAACACAUGCAAGUCGAACGGCAGCACAGUAAGAGCUUGCUCUUACGGGUGGCGAGUGGCGGACGGGUGAGGAAUACAUCGGAAUCUACUUUUUCGUGGGGGCUAACGUAGGGAAACUUACGCUAAUACCGCAUACGACCUACGGGUGAAAGCAGGGGAUCUUCGGACCUUGCGCGAUUGAAUGAGCCGAUGUCGGAUUAGCUAGUUGGCGGGGUAAAGGCCCACCAAGGCGACGAUCCGUAGCUGGUCUGAGCGGAUGAUCAGCCACACUGGAACUGAGACACGGUCCAGACUCCUACGGGAGGCAGCAGUGGGGAAUAUUGGACAAGGGGGGCAAGCCUGAUCCAGCCAUACCGCGUGGGUGAAGAAGGCCUUCGGGUUGUAAAGCCCUGUUGUUGGGAAAGAAAAGCAGCAGGUUAAUACCCCGCUGUUCUGACGGUACCCAAAGAAUAAGCACCGGCUAACUUCGUG